UGGGGAAUAUGGGACAAUGGGCGAAAGCCUGAUCCAGCCAUGCCGCGUGUGUGAAGAAGGUCUUCGGAUUGAAAAGCACUUUAAGUUGGGAGGAAGGGCAGUAAGCGAAUACCUUGCUGUUUUGACGUUACCGACAGAAUAAGCACCGGCUAACUCUGUGCCAGCAGCCGCGGUAAUACAGAGGGUGCAAGCGUUAAUCGGAAUUACUGGGCGUAAAGCGCGCGUAGGUGGUUCGUUAAGUUGAAUGUGAAAGCCCCGGGCUCAACCACGGUACUGCAUCCCAAAAUGGCGAGAUAUAGUAGGGCAGAGGGGGGUGGAACUUCCCGUUUCGCGGUGAAAUGCGUAGCUAUAUCAAGGAACACCAGUGGCGAAGGAGACCACCUGGGCUCAUACUGUCCAUGAUGUGCGAAAGCGUGGGGAGCAACCAGG
rnacentral:rRNA from 1 species